AUUUGAUAGUACCUUACUACUUGGAUAACCGUGGUAAUUCUAGAGCUAAUACAUGCUAAAAACCCCGACUUCGGGAGGGGUGUAUUUAUUAGAUAAAAAACCAACGCCCUUCGGGGCUUCUUGGUGAUUCAUGAUAACUUAACGAAUCGCAUGGCCUUGCGCCGGCGAUGGUUCAUUCAAAUUUCUGCCCUAUCAACUUUCGAUGGUAGGAUAGUGGCCUACCAUGGUAUCAACGGGUAACGGGGAAUUAGGGUUCUAUUCCGGAGAGGGAGCCUGAGAAACGGCUACCACAUCCAAGGAAGGCAGCAGGCGCGCAAAUUACCCAAUCCCGACACGGGGAGGUAGUGACAAUAAAUACUGAUACAGGGCUCUUUUGGGUCUUGUAAUUGGAAUGAGUACAAUUUAAAUCCCUUAACGAGGAACAAUUGGAGGGCAAGUCUGGUGCCAGCAGCCGCGGUAAUUCCAGCUCCAAUAGCGUAUAUUAAAGUUGUUGCAGUUAAAAAGCUCGUAGUUGAACCUUGGGCCUGGCUGGCCGGUCCGCCUCACCGCGUGCACUGGUCCGGCCGGGCCUUUCCUUCUGGGGAGCCGCAUGCCCUUCACUGGGUGUGUCGGGGAACCAGGACUUUUACUUUGAAAAAAUUAGAGUGUUCAAAGCAGGCCUUUGCUCGGAUACAUUAGCAUGGAAUAAUAGAAUAGGACGUGCGGUCCUAUUUUGUUGGUUUCUAGGACCGCCGUAAUGAUUAAUAGGGAUAGUCGGGGGCAUCAGUAUUCAAUUGUCAGAGGUGAAAUUCUUGGAUUUAUUGAAGACUAACUACUGCGAAAGCAUUUGCCAAGGAUGUUUUCAUUAAUCAGUGAACGAAAGUUAGGGGAUCGAAGACGAUCAG
rnacentral:rRNA from 1 species